UGAAAUGUGCAUUCAAAUAACCUUGCGUUAACUUGUGUAGUUGCAGGGAAAGCUUGGUUUCCCAUCGACGCUUUUUCCGGGUUGUUUUAGCGACCAGGUGGUUCACUUGUCUGACAUGGAACAACAUCCAGGUGAAGCUUCACUAUUCCACAGCAUUGGCUCACAUGAUAAACAAACAGGACCAUAGGUAGCAGUAGUAGUGUAUAUAAAACUUCUUAUGAUUUCAGAGUUUUGACCAAAUGAGAUAUUUUGAGAUCAGGAAGUGGUUUUCAUGUCUUUUAAACUUUAAAAUAGACAAUUUUUAGCUUUAGACUUUUAUUUAUUGAUGAAGAUUUGAGCUCCUCUGGAUCAUAAAAGAAUUGAUUACUAGUUGGAGAAAAGAGAGUUGAAACAUGUUUCAUAAGAACAUUUCCCAAAAUAAGGCGUGAUACUUGAACGUCUGGUUUUGAAUUAUAUAACAUUGGUCCCCUUUCAACUUUGCCGGUUUGGUUUUGAAUUCUAUCAUAUUGGCUAAAGUUAGGACUGACUGGUCCCCUUUCAACUU